rnacentral:lncRNA from 1 species
AGUACUUAAGGCUCCCAAGUUCAGCAAUGUUUCUAAUAGACGUCUGCCUCUGUGUUCCCUGGACAACUCCAUUCCAGUGCAAGAUUCUCAUGGUUGAAUUCAGAUUUUAAGUGCUGUUUGUGGGGUUUUGAGCAGUUGCCAUUCUGAGGAGGAGCAGAGGAGCAUGGCUUUGCCAAAGUGUCUCCCAAUUAUGAGCACCAUCUGCAAGAGUCCACUUGGAAAAUACUCAAACAUUCAGGAAAAGGCUACCAUGGGGUGAUUUUUCUGGAAUGUCCAAGCAGGAAAUUUCCUUAGAGAUCACCUGGUUCAACUUUCUUCUCUUAUGGACUGAGUGGGCUUCUAUGACUUCUGCCUUGCCCUGGAGGUCCAAUACAGGU